rnacentral:tRNA from 1 species
AGUAGUAUAAUACAAAUAAGUCAGUAUAUGAAACCUGAAGCCAAAACCCUGGGUUCAAAUCCCAGCACUGCUU